GGGCGGGGCCUGCCGCCGCCACCGCCUCAGGGAAGAGGAAGGAGGCCGCGGCUUCGCGUCCCGCCUCUCGCCUGGCUGGCCGUGGGGGGCCUGGACGCAGUGGCCUCCCGAAUCUCCCAGGACCCUAAUAUCGCCCGAGGAUGCUGGGAGGAACGCUGAGCCGACCUCUCCGUUAGGCUGAAGAUUGCACAAACCAUGCUAAUGGCCAGCAUGGAUGGAGGGAGCGUGUGAGAUGUGUGGGGCAGCGUGCUGCAUCUCAGCCAACUCCAGGAGCCAGUUGAUGUGAUGGACUACCUUAAUUGAUUUUUGAAUGUUGAGCCAGCCUUAUGCAUGUGGGAUAAACCCCUGUUGAUCAUGGCUGGCUGGAGUGCAGUGGUGCAAUCAUGGCUCACUGCAACCUCAAAUUCCUGGGCUCAAGGGAUCCUCCUGCCUCAGCCUCCCAAGUAGCUAGGACUACAGAUGGAACGAAGUCUGUUUGUGGAAACACCCUUCCCCUCUGUUUACUUGGACCUGAUUUUGAAAGUAACAAGUCACUUUAUUUGGGCUGGAGGAAAAAGCACUAAACCAGAUGUUGAGGUGACCGGGAUUCCUGGAAGACAUUCUUCUCUCCAACGAGACACAUGAUGCAUGAAGUAGGAGCCCCUGGCAAGGAGCCCAGGCUGCCAUGGCCUCGCUCGCUCCUGCUUCCCGGCAUGGCCCCGAGGCUAGCUGCCUCUGUACUGCCUGAGCAUCGUCCCCUGGCGUGUCACCAGACUACCCACUACCUGUGCUUGCACCUGCAGGUGGGCAGUUCAGUCGUUGCAGGCUGAAGCUCCCUGUCACAGGAGUCCAUCAGCACUGGAGUUUACCAAAUGGCCCAGUCCAGGUCUGUGUCAUAUUGUUUUGCAAAAGCAAGAAAACUCAUUCAGAGCUUGUUACUUUUAUCCCUGACUUCCUAAGUGAGCAGUGUAGCCAGAGAACUACAUCCCCUGACAUCCUUUAAGAGCCAUGACCACUCCUGCCCUUGCUUUGUGACAGGCACUCCUGGAUGCUGAAGUGCUGUUGCUGUGCACCACUAUGCAUCCUGUGUGAGGAUGAGCACUCCAGUCCUUGCUCCCUCUUCCCGUGGCUGGCUCAUUAGCCAGAGCAAACUGUGGCCUUGAAGGAGCAGAAGGAGCAUUUGACUCUUCCCAGCUCUCAGUCUUUGGAAAAUUGAGCAAAGUGGAAUGAAAGCCAUUUAUUCAUUUAACUGGCAGUUAUUUAUUGAGCAUCUAUUAUGUGGCAGGCACCGUGGUGACACUGAAAAGAGAAGGGUGAACAAGGACAGUCCUGAGCUCAAGCAGGCUGCUGGCAGGUGGUAGUGGGGGCAGACAAGCAAAGGGGCACCCAUGCCAUGGCCUGCAAUGCACCACCUCCAGGACAAGGUUUGGGACCCAUCCCUGGGUCUUGGGGGACAUUCUAAAAGGAAGCAGUGGCUCAGCAUAGACCUGAAGGACAAGAAGGCACCAGUCAUGUGUGGAGUGGGUUGGUGGAGAUGCGCAGAGUGCAAGGAGGUCUGGAGGUGAGACCUCCAGGCAGAAUGGAGGGAGGUGUGUCCCAUAGCAUGUGGACUCUAAGGGGCUGGGAGAUCUUAGGGGUCCCUGGAGGCUGACUGAAGGCUGGCCAGGGAGCCUGCCUGGUAAGGGCCUCCAAGGUCAGGUUUGGGUGUAAGAGUAGCCAUUUCUAGCACUGGUUGAGGUGCACUUCCCUGUCAGUGCCCCAAAAUCCUUCAGCAGUGUCUGAUACGAUGUUCUAGACUGGCAUUGUUUCCAGUGCAGGCCCUGUCUCAUUCUUCAGGAAGCAUGCUCAUGGCAAUACCCGGAGUCUCCACUGCAAGACCAGAGUGACGGAGGCAGCAGAGCUCCUCAGCAGGCCAGGAGUCUCCAGAGGCACUGCCGAAUGUCUAAGAAGCAACCUCAUUGUAUUCCCAAGACCUGGGAAUCCAGGUCUCGCAGAUACGAUGAUACAAUCUAUAGCCAGGACAUCUCUUCAUGUGUAGUUUUCAAUGAAUACUAGGAUAAGCAACUAUCCCAGUCUUCCCAGGAUUGAGGGGCUUCUCCAGAUGCUGCACUUCUGGUGCUAAAAAUGAGAAACUGAAAUGAAUUAGUCACCCAAGGAAUGCUGACCCUGUGCUAUAUGAUCACAUUUACUCUUUAAAGCAAUGCUUUGAGACAUGAAAGCCAGAUAGGGAAGAAUUUGCAGCCUCAUACUGAUUGGCCAGUUGAGGAGUCAACUCAUCUCUCUUAUAGAAAAAAGAAGAUUACAUUUACGGAAUACAGAAUAUACUGUGCUCUCUACUUACCAAGAGAUUUCUUUCUCUACUGACAACUUUCUGUUGACGUGGUUACUGUGCAGGUUCUGACAGUCGAUUCUUUCCACCUAGUUCACUGCUGAAGCUAUAAUGAUUUCCAUUUUGCAAAAAGAGGAUGAUUACUUAUUAUCUGUGACCAUUUCUCAAUUCCAGAACAAUUGAGCUGCAUAGUCCCUGCAAUCUUAUAAAGGCAUUUGGCCUGGAAGAUGCUCUGCAGCCAUGUGCCAAGAAUAACGGCUAUAGGGACAAUGUUUCAUUAACCCCAAAGCAGCAACCUGAACCUCUUACUGUACAAUAUCUGCUCCGUUCAGAAUUAGCUCGACUUGAGUCACAGGAUGAAGCUUACCAAAAGGAAUUUCCACGUCCAAGGAAGGAACCAAGAUCACUGAGAGGUUAUAGUAUGAAAAGUGAAGAGAAAAAACCUAUUCUAAACAUUUUAUUAAUUGUCAAUAAUUAUUUUAAAAUAUUUAAUAUAGUCUCCUACCUGGUCCACUGGCAUCAAGCUGCCAAAUUUACACGGUCACUUUGGGAAGCCAGCUGGCAGGCAAACAUGGAAAGUGCUGGCUCCUAGCGUAGUGAGAAGACCACAGAUAGAUGGUAAUUUUCUUCUUUGUUUUAUUUUUCUUUUUCUUCUCUCCCUCUUUUUCUUCCCUCUUGCCUUUCCCUCCCAUUGCCCACUUUCUUUUUUUGGCUGCCGAAGAUUUAUUGCCUUUCAGUACUUAUAGAUGAUGUUUUCAUAAGUUCUAAUGAGGUCCCAGCAGUUUUUAACAAUAACAGGACAUUACUGUUCCUAAGAUAUAUUAUGUGUUUUCCCUCAUCUUUCUCCCUUGAAUGAAAUGCUUAGAAGUAGGCUAACCCCCAAUUCCCUUCCCUUUACUAUGAUAAAUGGCUCCAUUACUUAAUAGGGCUAAAUACUCUGCUGUGACUUUUAUACUGCUGAUUUGAAUAAAAUCUUACGAAAAGCU
rnacentral:lncRNA from 1 species